CUCCGGUUGAUCCUGCCGGACCUGACUGCUAUCGGAUUGGUACUAAGCCAUGCGAGUCAUUGUAGCAAUACAGGGCGGACGGCUCAGUAACACGUAGUCAACCUAACUCGUGGACGUGGAUAACCUCGGGAAACUGAGAAUAAACCACGAUAGAUCAUAGUGCCUGGAAUGGCUUAUGGUCCAAACAGUUUACUGCCAUGGGAUGGGACUGCGGCCUAUCAGCUUGUUGGUGAGGUAAUGGCCCACCAAGGCGAUUACAGGUACGGGCUCUGAGAGGAGAAGCCCGGAGAUGGGUACUGAGACACGGACCCAGGCCCUAUGGGGCGCAGCAGGCGAGAAACCUUAGCAAUGUGCGAAAGCACGACUGGGUCAGUCCGAGUGAUUCCUGAUAAAGGAGUCUUUUGCUUGUCCUAAAAGCACAGGUGAAUAAGGGGUGGGCAAGUCUGGUGUCAGCCGCCGCGGUAAUACCAGCACCUCGAGUGGUCAGGACGUUUAUUGGGCCUAAAGCAUCCGUAGCCGGCUCUGCAAGUCUUCGGUUAAAUCCACCUGCUCAACAGAUGGGCUGCUGGAGAUACUACAGAGCUAGGGAGUGGGAGAGGCAGACGGUAUUCAGUGGGUAGGGGUAAAAUCCUCUGAUCCAUUGAGGACCACCAGUGGCGAAGGCGGUCUGCCAGAACACGUUCGACGGUGAGGGAUGAAAGCUGGGGGAGCAAACCGGAUUAGAUACCCGGGUAGUCCCAGCUGUAAACGAUGCAAACUCGGUGAUGCAUUGGCUUAUGGCCAAUGCAGUGCCGCAGGGAAGCCGUUAAGUUUGCCGCCUGGGAAGUACGGACGCAAGUCUGAAACUUAAAGGAAUGGCGGGGGAGCA
rnacentral:rRNA from 1 species